AUAAUACUCCAUAGAUUAGAGAUACUGGAAUGUUCUGUAGUCAAAAGUUCUGGCGCCUUAGGAUGGAUCUGCGGUCGAUUAGGUUGUUGUUGGGGUAACGGCCCAACAAGCCUGUAAUCGAUACGGGUUGUGGGAGCAAGAGCCCGGAGAUGGAAUCUGAGACACGAUUCCAGGCCCUACGGGGCGCAGCAGGCGCGAAAACUUUACAAUGCAGGAAACUGUGAUAAGGGAACUCCGAGUGCCCGUAUACGCGGGCUGUCCAGGUGUUUAAAAAUCAUCUGAAGAAAGGGCCGGGCAAGACCGGUGCCAGCCGCCGCGGUAAUACCGGCGGCUCGAGUGGUGGCCACUAUUAUUGGGCUUAAAGCGUCCGUAGCUGGACCGAUAAGUCUCUUGGGAAAUCCGCCGGCUCAACCGGCGGGCGUCUAAGGGAUACUGUUAGUCUAGGGACCGGGAGAGGUGAGAGGUACUCCGGGGGUAGGAGUGAAAUCCUGUAAUCCCCGGGGGACCACCGAUGGCGAAGGCAUCUCACCAGAACGGCUCCGACAGUGAGGGACGAAAGCUGGGGGAGCGAACCGGAUUAGAUACCCGGGUAGUCCCAGCCGUAAACUAUGCGCGUUAGGUGU
rnacentral:rRNA from 1 species